UAUCCUCUUCCAGGGAGGAUUCACCCUGUCCUCUGUCAAAGUAGAGCAGGGACACCUCAAUCCAGUCAAAAACUGAGCUUACUCAAGGCUGGGCUUCAGAUUCCUAAGAAAUGCAACAAGAGCCUUACAAACCAUCCAUCUGAAGAGCAAGCACAAA